rnacentral:rRNA from 1 species
UACGAAGGGGGCGAGCGUUGUUCGGAUUUACUGGGCGUAAAGGGCGCGCAGGCGGCUCAUUUUGUCAGGCGUGAAAGCCCUGGGCUUAACCUGGGAACUGCGUUUGAUACGGAUGGGCUAGAGUUCGGGAGAGGAGAGUGGAAUUCCCAGUGUAGAGGUGAAAUUCGUAGAUAUUGGGAAGAACACCGGUGGCGAAGGCGGCUCUCUGGACCGAGACUGACGCUGAGGCGCGAAAGCGUGGGGAGCAAACAGG